CCUACGGGUGGCUGCAGUGGGGAAUAUUGGACAAUGGGGGCAACCCUGAUCCAGCCAUGCCGCGUGUGUGAAGAAGGCCCUCGGGUUGUAAAGCACUUUCAGUGAGGAAGAACGCCUGGUGGUUAAUACCCAUCAGGAAAGACAUCACUCACAGAAGAAGCACCGGCUAACUCCGUGCCAGCAGCCGCGGUAAUACGGAGGGUGCGAGCGUUAAUCGGAAUUACUGGGCGUAAAGCGCGCGUAGGUGGCUUGAUAAGCCGGUUGUGAAAGCCCCGGGCUCAACCUGGGAACGGCAUCCGGAACUGUCAAGCUAGAGUGCAGGAGAGGAAGGUAGAAUUCCCGGUGUAGCGGUGAAAUGCGUAGAGAUCGGGAGGAAUACCAGUGGCGAAGGCGGCCUUCUGGACUGACACUGACACUGAGGUGCGAAAGCGUGGGUAGCAAACAGGAUUAGAUACUCUAGUAGUC
rnacentral:rRNA from 1 species